rnacentral:rRNA from 1 species
UACGAAGGGUGCAAACGUUGCUCGGAAUUAUUGGGCGUAAAGCGCACGUAGGCGGCUUUGCGAGUCGGAUGUGAAAGCCCUCGGCUUAACCGAGGAAGUGCAUCCGAAACUGCAGAGCUUGAGUACUUAAGAGGAUCGCGGAAUUCCCGGUGUAGAGGUGAAAUUCGUAGAUAUCGGGAGGAACACCAGUGGCGAAGGCGGCGAUCUGGGAAGAUACUGACGCUGAGGUGCGAAAGCGUGGGGAGCAAACAGG